rnacentral:rRNA from 1 species
UCGAGAAUCUUCCGCAAUGGACGAAAGUCUGACGGAGCGACGCCGCGUGCGGGAUGAAGGCCCUUGGGUUGUAAACCGCUGUCAGAGGGGAUGAAAUCUUCGAAGGUUAUCCUUCGAAGUUGACAGAGCCUCAAAGGAAGCACGGGCUAAGUACGUGCCAGCAGCCGCGGUAACACGUACUGUGCGAACGUUAUUCGGAAUCACUGGGCUUAAAGGGUGCGUAGGCGGCGAUACAAGUCAGGUGUGAAAUGCCGGAGCUCAACUGCGGCAUUGCGCUUGAAACUGUGUUGCUGGAGUAUUUCAGGGGUNUGGGGAACUGCCAGUGGAGCGGUGAAAUGUGUUGAUAUUGGCAGGGAACACCGGAGGCGAAAGCGCCACACUGGGGAAUAACUGACGCUGAGGCACGAAAGCCAGGGGAGCGAACGGGAUUAGAUACCCGAUGUAGUCCCUGAGCGGGC